AUUGAACGCUAGCGGGAUGCUUUACACAUGCAAGUCGAACGAGUGGCGGACGGGUGAGUAAUAUAUCGGAACGUGCCCCGUAUCGGGGGAUAACUACUCGAAAAAGUGGCUAAUACAGCAUACGCUUGGGGCGGCGCAUAUUGGAUUAGCUAGUUGGUGGGGUAAAGGCUCACCAAGGCAACGAUCCGUAGCUGGUUUGAGAGGACGACCAGCCACACUGGGACUGAGACACGGCCCAGACUCCUACGGGAGGCAGCAGUGGGGAAUUUUGGACAAUGGGGGAAACCCUGAUCCAGCCAUGCCGCGUGUAUGAGAAGGCCUUCGGGUUGUAAAGUACUUUUGGCAGGGAAGCGGUAUCUGCAGAAGAAGCACCGGCUAACUACGUGCCAGCAGCCGCGGUAAUUC
rnacentral:rRNA from 1 species